rnacentral:lncRNA from 1 species
UCCUGUUCUCUUCUACCAUCACACCCACCGCUGUAAAGCAGCCAACAUGAUAUUUUACACACACACACCACACACACACACACAACACACACACACACACACACACACACACCAGAUCACGGGAAGCUCCGUUCACAUCUCUCCAUUGCCUUCUGAUCUUUCGCUCAGUCCGCACCAUGGCUGCAGGCCCUGCGCCCCUCCACUACCACCAACUCCGCCACCUCCACCCUGCUCUGUGCGACGCUGAGCCAUCGGGUAGGGGAGGAGUCAGAAGCCAACACCCAGAGGAGGCGACAGAAGAAAAGGAGGCUGGUCUCCGGGGCUCACCUGGUUCAAGCACCUGCACAGAGACUUUUCUUCUCGUGCCGUUUGCUGUCACAGAAAAGACCGGCCCCGCACACGUGCAAAGAGGUAAGUGGAUGGAAAGUCAUUGAACUGCAAGUGAAAACAAUAUAUAUCCACUACUGGCCCCAGUUAGAUACGGUACAGCUAGCCGAUGGAAUACUACGCCGCCAUUAAAAAGAUGAGGCAACCUCAUAGCCCGUAUACCGCCGUCAGGAUGUUUUGAAGCGGAAGAAGUCGGGUGGGGUGAUUUCAUGAAAUAGUCCUCUCUUACCAAACAGAUGUUUUCUGAUUACUUUUAUUUCACUUUACAUGCAUAUUUGUACUUUUUCAAUCAAAAGUCACUAGCAUAAAAAGACACCAAUGAGCUAUAGGAAGAUAUUGUCCAUAACUCUGUCCGAUAGGUCAGAACCAAUAUCUUAGCUCUUAGCCCCAUGUGGCUAUUUACGUGUUAAGGUGCAUUAAUGAAAAUCGAAUGAAAAUUUAGUUUCUCAGUUGCACUACCCACGUUUCAAGGGUCCAGCGGUCAUGCGUGGGUAGUGGCUAGCACAUCGACAGUGAACACAGAGAACAUUUCCAUUAUUGUGGACAGUUACAUCGGACAGUGCUGGACCCAGAGCCAGAGAAUUUUUCUUGAAAUAUCUCGGUCUUCGGUGUUCCUCAUAGAAUUGAUGCAAAAGAGAAAUAGGGAACGAAUUUUGCAUUACAGAACAAGGCAGGCAUUAAUGUGCAUCUCUCCCUCUCUCUCUCCUUGUUAACCAGCAGGAACGUGAGAAACUCAUCCCUACAACUUUUUACAGUGUCAUGACUUACAGCUCUAAAAUAUUUCGUAUAUAUUUUAAGUAGUACCAUGUCUGGGGACUUUUGCCACCUGGCAACCUAAAUUGAUCAAUAGUUAUGGACGCUGGUUGCAAGAAUACCAAAAAUAAGCGACAGCCCCAAAUCAUCCCAUUUUUUUUUUCAUUACUGUAUAAAUUCUGGAACCUUCUCCCUUUUUUGGAUCCCUCAUUCUCUAACUCGUUUAGGCUUCUGAGGACCCUCUCGACUCUGAGAAGCCACAAGUAUAAUCCCAGCUAAGAGUGAAGCUCGAGGAACCAUGGAGCCCUAAGGGUUGCUAUCAGCAUAUCUGAUUCAAUAAACACAAGAGAACCAACA